UACGGAGGGGGCAAGCGUUGUUCGGAAUUACUGGGCGUAAAGGGCUCGUAGGCGGCCAACUAAGUCAGACGUGAAAUCCCUCGGCUUAACCGGGGAACUGCGUCUGAUACUGGAUGGCUUGAAUCCGGGAGAGGGAUGCGGAAUUCCAGGUGUAGCGGUGAAAUGCGUAGAUAUCUGGAGGAACACCGGUGGCGAAGGCGGCAUCCUGGACCGGCAUUGACGCUGAGGAGCGAAAGCCAGGGGAGCGAACGGG
rnacentral:rRNA from 1 species